UACAGAGGUCCCAAGCGUUGUUCGGAAUUAUUGGGCGUAAAGGGUGCGUAGGCGGUGCGGUAAGUCUGUAGUGAAAUCUCUGGGCUCAACUCAGAGUCUGCUAUAGAAACUGCCGUGCUUGAGUGUGGGAGAGGUGAGUGGAAUUCCCGGUGUAGCGGUGAAAUGCGUAGAUAUCAUUUGGAACGCCAAUGGUGAAAACAGGUAGCUGGGAGCGUGCUGACACUGAGACACGAAAGCCAGGGGAGCAAACGGG
rnacentral:rRNA from 1 species